rnacentral:tRNA from 1 species
AAGGGAGACCUAAUUCAGGUAUAAGACGAAAAAAAAGUAGUCCCUACCAAGAAUCAAUCCCAAAAGGUCGGAACGAGGUAUGAGGCUUUCAAACUAGGUUCUGGGUUCAUAAAAGAUCUGAAUCAGGAACAAGGGCUAUUAGCUCAGGUGGUUAGAGCGCACCCCUGAUAAGGGUGAGGUCCCUGGUUCGAGUCCAGGAUGGCCCACCUGCACAGGUGGCAAAAACAAGAGAAGCGAGGAAUCAGCACCUUAUCUUAUAUACAUAUAUAAGAGAGAAUGCUGGCUCUGAGUACAGAGUCCAGAGGAACCUUGAAAACUGCAUAGAGCUAGGUGAAAAAGCCAAAAAAGAAGACCGCAA